rnacentral:rRNA from 1 species
UGAAGAGGUUUGGAAAGACCAACCACAGAAGGUAAUAGUCCUGUAUGUUAAACGAGAAGACUUUAGAUAUGAUCCAGAGUACCACGGGACACGUGAAACCCUGUGGGAAGCAGGAGGGACCACCCUCAAAGGCUAAAUACUACCUAGUGACCGAUAGCGUAUAGUACCGUGAGGGAAAGGGGAAAAGAACCCCGGGAGGGGAGUGAAAUAGAACCUGAAACCCUGCACUUACAAGCUGUGGAAGCACAUUUCUUGUGUGACCGCGUACUUUUUGUAGAACGGGCCAACGAGUUACGUUAAGUAGCAAGGUUAAGCACUUAAGGUGCGGAGCCGUAGCGAAAGCGAGUUUUAACUGAGCGUUCAGUUACUUGACGUAGACCCGAAACCGGGCGACCUACCCAUGAGCAGGA